AGAUGAGAAAUUUUGAGGCUUUUGCUUUAAUUUAUGAUGAAGAAAUUCAUUAAUACUUAUAAUUUUUUUUCUAAUAGGAUUUCGUCUACUUUCAUUAAGAUUGUCUAUAAAUUUAUUGUCCUAAGCCACUAGGUUUAGUCUAGUGGUGAGGAAUUUGUUUCUCUUAAAUUGGGAUUUUCUCGGUGGACGGUAACAUGAAAAUUGAAAAGUAACUGGGUAAUAAUUUAGGAGUUUUAACUCAAUUUACACUAGCUAAAUUCUUUCAAUAACAGCUUAGCCAAGAAAGCCCCUACACUACAUUCUACCAUCUUACUUUGCUUCCACACCAAGUGUUCAAACUUGUGUUCAACGAUUUAUUAUUGUGGUAAUAAAAGUUUAACUAAACUGUCAAGGUAUGCAAGGAAAAAAUUAAUAGUAAUAAGGUAACAAGUUCAUGGGAUGAUCAUAGUAGUUUCUGAAAUGUUUCAAAUAUGCAAAAUACCACACAUGACUACUAAAACCUUAGCUCAACAUACACUUCCAAGUUAUAAUAUAUUAGCUCAACAAGCCAAAAAGAAGACAUAAACCGAAUGUUUACGCUUGCCAAAGUAGCUUUCUCCAUCAGUCAUGAUCUUUCCCCCAGCAUUGAUCUUAGCUCUGUACGAGGUUCCUAUUGUUACCAUCAGACAAUCCACGCACAUAUUGAAG
rnacentral:lncRNA from 1 species